rnacentral:rRNA from 1 species
ACCAGCAGCUUUAUCACCCUGCAGCUCUCAACUGGCAGCCCACUGAAGCUCAGCAGGUGUGAGCCUGGUCAGUACCUGGAUGGGAGACCUUUUGGGAAGCUAUGGUUGCUGCUGGAA